rnacentral:rRNA from 1 species
UACGGGGGGGGCAAGCGUUGUUCGGAAUUACUGGGCGUAAAGGGCCAGUAGGCGGCCAACUAAGUCGGAUGUGAAAUCCCCAGGCUCAACUUGGGAACUGCAUCCGAUACUGGAUGGCUUGAAUUCGGGAGAGGGAUGCAGAAUUCCAGGUGUAGCGGUGAAAUGCGUAGAUAUCUGGAGGAAUACCGGUGGCGAAGGCAGCACUCUGGGACGGUACUGACGCUGAGACGCGAAAGCGUGGGGAGCAAACAGG